AACCUGCUGCAGGAUCAUUA
rnacentral:rRNA from 1 species